rnacentral:lncRNA from 1 species
UCCACUUGAUCCCAUAAUAUUCUGACUUGAUGAUGCAUCACCACUUCCAACAUCCGGUGCCUGGACUAAAUUAAAAUAUGCUUAGAGUUAAUUAAUAAUUUUUGAAAAAUAAAUGAAAACAAUAUUAUAUUAUGAAAUUCAAGGUAUAAUAUGAGAGAGAAAAAUUAUAUGAAGGCAAUAAAAUUGAAUUAAGGCAGCUAAUAAAAAUCAACAAUUAUAAAUCAAUUAUAAUUUUAGGAUUUACUUUUAGAUUCAUGAGAACUGCAACUGUCUAAAUAAUAAAACAAUAACCAAAUUAAUAUAUCAAUAAUAUAGAUAUUUAAAUAGAAAGAGUUUGAACAUCAAAGGUCAAUAGGGAUGAUAUAUACCAUGUACAUCACACCACUAUGCUUCCCUUCCCUAGACCGUACAAGGGACCAAUAUCAAAUAAAGAGACUUAAGAUCAUGACUAUGGUUGGAUGUGUAAAUUAUAUUUAAUAGAGAAAUAUAAGCAUUACAUGCUAGACCAUGUCAUUCAAAAUUCAUAAUCCAGUAAUAAAAAUAGAAACUCAAAAAUUACUAAUGGUUGCAAAAUCAAUCUAAUGGUAUUCCAUGGAAGAAACCAUUAAUGUUAUUCUAAUGGUUGCAAAAAUUACUAAAUCUUGUAUGCCAUGGAAGAAACAAUUAAUGUAUCAAAUCAUGAUUCAACUCCUAAAAUACUUUAUGAAUAAUAAAUUGUAAUAUUCACCAAUGACAUAAAAUUAGCAAUAUUAAUAGUUUUAGAGUAUGAAUUAAAAAAGAAGCUAAAAAGAGAAAACAUGUGAAAGGCAAUGGCUGUUGCAAGACCACAUAUACCAGCUCCCACAAUCACAAUAUCCGCAUCAACAUUUUUAUCCAUCUUCUCCCAUUUCCUUCCUAUUUAAGAUAUUUAAUUAAGCCUAACAUUUAAACUACUUAAAAUAUUGUUCAUAAAGUAUAACAUUAUAAUUUUUUUAGAAAUGAAUUAUCAAAAAAGAAAGUGUUUAGCCACAUAAUUUUGGCUCCAGCUCAAGCUACUUCCAACCUAAACCAUGCAGCAAAAGAAAACAACCAAAAAAUGAAAAUAAACUAAGAAUUGACCAUCACUGAUCUCCAACAAAAAUUCUCAUUUCCAAAAAAUUCUAAAGCAACAGAUAUGGAAGAAGUAAUAAAAUAAAGGUUUUUCUAAUAAGUGUCAUAGGAGUACUAAGGUUUUAUGGCACUCCUUAGCAAACCAAACCCCAUAAAAUGAAUCAGGUAUUCUACCUAGAAUUUGGAAAGUAAAAGCCUAGACAUUUAGCAAACCACAUUGAUUUGAGCUUAGGAGAAAAGAUACUUCAAUGGGCAAACAUUGGAUGGUUGAUCGAUCAUGACAUCCUCUGGCUCUGUCAUAUCCUCAGGCUAUCCUUUCCACUUCUUGUAAAUGCUAAGGGCCUCAACCAUGCCUCCCUUAACAUCACACAAAGUUAACUUAUGUGCAAAUUUUAUCAUUGCAUACCAAAUCAAUCUCACGUGUAGAACUAAAACUCCCAAUAUAUAGCAAAUUAAACCAUCAAACAUAUACACAUUUAGUUUAGAUUAUAUAUAUGAUAUAUCUCAAGAUAUAUGAAUGCAAGAGAUUAAUAUUUUUUUUACCACCAAAAUCUAGAAAUGGAAACUUAAUCACAAACUUAAAAUAUAUAUACACAGAAACACAACACGUUGCAUGCACACUCUAUGAAAAACUUGAUAAAGAUUAGGAUUAAUUUUUCACAUACCUUUCAAUGCAGAAGAAGCGAAGCAUCUCCUUCCCCAUCUUUUUGAAUCAAUUGUACCUUUGUGCCAUAAAUUCCACAACCAUCAACCCCCUCCAUUCACCAUAUGUGGCCCCCUCCUGACCCUUAGCACCGUUUGAGAAGAUGAACAGUAGAGUUUGCUAAUCACAGGCAUCAUGCUCAUCUUCCAACUCUGGUGGACUCAACAAUGAUAUUAGCUUCAUUCUCAUUCCCAUGGGAUCUCCUCAGGGUUCCUUGGGAUUAACAAAAGAUUUAAUGACAUUGUUCAUGAAGAAACGAACACUUACAACAUAAAUAUGCAGGGAAAAACAAUGGAACACAUGAAAAAGGGUGAAAAAUAUACCUGUGUCAAAAAAAGUGUAAAUCAUGAUGCUCAGAGUCCUUGUUGGUGACAUCGUGAUGCUUACAAUGUCCCUAUUUCUCAUUAGAACACCACAAAUAAUAAAGAGAUGGCAGAAGAAAAAACGAAAUAUGAAACCAAAAACAUCGAAACUUUUCCUUCGUGGAAUAUCCUUACCAUACAAACCACACAACUUCAGAGAAAAAAAAUGCCAAUGGGUUCUUACCUUAAGAGCGAGGUGCUCAUUGCCAAAGGUCGUGAUGAUGAGAUUAAAUAUAGAGGGUUUGGAAAUGAAGAACAAAAGAAUUGAUGGUGAGGGUUUCGAAAUUAGGAACUUCAAAAUUAUAUUCAGAAGAAAAUACACACAAAAGCAUAACUUUGCCAAAAAAAAAAUGAUCGUUCCACGCACCUGUUGCAACAACGAACCAACGAUUGCGGCGAUAAUGGCGGCCAAACAUUGUGAGAAGAGUGAGAAGGGUGAUAUGGUUUGCGGUGAGACUGAGAACAGUGAGAGUGAGAACGUUAGCGGUGAGAUUGAGAAAAAAGGUUUCAGUGAGAAUGAGAAGAGGGUUUGCGGUGAGAUUAAGAAGAAGGAUUUCAAUGAGAAUGAGAAGAGGGUUUGCGGUGAGAAUGUGAAGGUUUUUCGGUGAGAGUGAGAAGAGAAGGGUUGCGGUGAUAAGAGAAGGAGAAUAGAACGAGAAUGAGAACGGUUAGGGUUAGCCGAGAGAGGGGAAUACGAAAGAGAGGGGAAGUUUCAGUGAGAGGGGUUGCAUUGCGGUGAGAAGGGGGUUCAGUGAGGACAAGGUUCG